rnacentral:lncRNA from 1 species
GUCAUCCCACUGGUUGGAGGAGGUAGGUCACUAGGGAUGUGCCUUUGGGGUUUAUAUUUUGUCCCCAGUGAGCAGAGUUCUCUCUCUGCUUACUGGUUGUCAUGUUCCGAGCUCCUUUCCUACUCCACACCCUUUCACCUUGAUGUUCUGCAUUGCCUGGGGUCCAGAGCUGUGGAGUCAGCCCACCAUGGACUGAACCUGGGAAACCUUGAGCCAAAAUAAACUUUUCUUCUUCCAAAUUGUUCUUGUCAAGUAUUUUGGUCACAACAAUGAGAAGCUAACUAAAACAGGACAGCUCCCAGCAGGAAAAAGAUCAGAAAAGAUGUAAUGCCUCAGAUGCCUUUGUGCUCAUCACUGCCCCACCCUCUUUCUCUUCCAAAAAAGUAAUUAGAGUUUCUAACGGUUUAGAUAUGAGGUGUUUUGCUACCGAAACAUAGAUUUAAUUUAAACAUGGGGGGGGGGGGGUUCAAGGGAAAAAUUCCUGCUCCAUAAAUAUACAAAGCAGACUAUUUUCCGGAAAUCAAGUCUAGUCGGUUGAGUACAAGGUGUGUUCAAUGGGUUCAUAAUGUCACACAUGCCCCUUGGUUGAUCUACCAGUUCAUUGAGAGUGGCGAUGCACACUACAGGACACACUUCAAGGAUAAAUGCGGAUUGAAAGUUUAUAGAAUGAAUGUUGUUUAACGUCUCUCUGCUGGUAGUCAUUCAGUUCUGUGCGUGUGGACUCAUUUUUCUGUAAUCCAGCAAUGUCUGUCGGAUCCUGGGCAGCCAGGGAGCAUUCAACAGGUACAGUCGCUGGGCCCUGUGCUUUCUCCCAACCCAGCAGUUGACCAUUUUAGGUUAUGCAAUAUGAAUACAAGCAGAAUAAUACUAAAGCUAGACUUAUGAGGCUUAUUCCUAAGAAAUAUUUAGCUUUAUGAAACGCAAAAAAACCCCUUCAUUUUCAAUUAGACAUUCAUAUCCAUGUCUGUAAACGCAUUAACGGAAGACAUUCCUUUACAUUAAAGACAGAACUUUAGUCUUUGCAAAAGGAAAAGCUCCGUUUCCCUUAGAUUUUCUCAGCUCCUCCACUAUUUGCCUCAGACAAGGUUCAAGUUAUCUGUACUUCUGUGGGCGCCGUUGCAUUUAAAUCGCAGUCGGAAAAACCCUUCCCGGACUUUCUAACUCCACAGAACGCUAACUGGGCGCCAGGACGUCGCCCGCUUUCCCGUAAGCUGCCGAGCCGCCGAUGCCGGGCCCGCGCUGUGAUGUCACCCGGCUCGCGGGCCGCGGCGCGGGGAUUGGCCCGGGUCCAUGACGUCACGUGCCGGGGCGGCCCCGCACUGGCGAGGGCCCCGGGAUGCUCCUGUUCGUUUAAAAAUAAAGGGGUAGCGGGGCGGAGGAGAAGAACCGCCGGCCCGCGGAGUCACCCGCCGCCCCGCCAGGCGCCCCGCACCCCGGCCGCGCCAGCCUCGCCGGCGGCCCGAAAGAGGCGGGGGUAGGCGGGGCGGAGGAGGAGCCGCGGGCGCGGCGCCGCGCCGUCAGCGGCCGCCGCCCGCCCCCGUUACACACCGCAUGUAAACAGUCCCCGUCUGCGCGAGCCCAGGGACCCGCAGGGAGUCCGCCUGCCUGGCCCGCCGCCGCCCCGGACCCGCGCCUAGCGGAGCGUCGCGCCGUGCUGCCCGUCCGGGAGGAGGGCGCCGAGGAGCGAGGAGCCGCCGCCGCCCUCCGCCUCCCUCGCCCCUCCCGC